rnacentral:lncRNA from 1 species
GGGGGGAGGGGGCCUCGGCAGAGGUCGGUAACGGACAUCGGUGAAUCCGCGGCGGAGAUGGGAGCCGGCGGGGCACGUGGGGUGCGGGACCAGCGAGAAUGAAACAUCAUCAAUAUAAUCUAUAUCCGGAUAGAAUCUGUGAUCAUUCAGACCUUCGCUGGAAGGAAUUUGCAUCUGGAAAACCUCAGCUGAACGGAGGAGCAGUGUAAACAUUUACACAGAACUUGGCAGUCAGCCAAGCAGCCACUGACCGCUUCCCGGCCGGGGGCGGAGCACUGCUCAGAUUGAGCGGCCAUGCGGCCACCCCUAGAAUGUACUGAGUUCCCUCUCUGUGCGUGCGCAUUAUUUCACCGACUUCGCAGCACAAAGCCCCGAGCUGGAGAUCACAGGCAUCUGUUUUACGUUUGCAGAGACUGAGGCACAGUGAAGCUCCAAGUCUUAUCCGCAGGGUCGCAGCAGCCCGGCUCCAGACCCCUCAGCGCCCUGGCCCCUCCGGACCCCAGAAGUGGUGGGUCCCCAGCCAUCUAAAUUAAAAUGGAAAAGGAAAAGUCUUACCUAGAGGAGUAGGUUGGCCCAAAUGUGCAGAGGGCGGGGCUUUCUACAGGAACGAAAAGGAAAGUGGAAUUCGAGUACCUUCCAUGUGUGACGUAUGUCCUGGUAGAGAGACUCGCCACUCAUUAUUUGCUCUAAAUCUCAGAACCAACUUGCUUGAUCCCAUUUCACAGGCACGCGACACCCCUCAAGCCGCUUGCGCCCUAACCCCACGCCGCGCGUUCUGCCUGGAGGCCCCCCACCUGACACAGGCACCUGCAAGAGAGACCUCGCCCCUGCCCCUUAGAAAUGCCGCCUGACCAGGACGCCCCACCCCCAGGGCCGCACCCAACUCUGCAGGCAAAGGUGGGCGUCCUGCGCCCGUCCCCGUCCUGACCCGGAGGCCCGCGGGCCGGCAAAUCAGGAAAGUGGUCCGGGCUCCUCGUAAAGGUGGGCCACUGCCCCGGGCAGGCUCUGCGCACGGGGCGGGCAGGAAACGCAAGGUAAGUGUGGCCUCUCGAAGGACGCUCUCCCUCCCUCCCGCCGCACCCCCACCCAGACACACAGACAUUUUAAUGUUUUCCUUCGCGCCAAAUCAGUUUCCCAACUGCCUCUAGAGUUCAAAAUAAGUGAAUACUGGGGCGCCCGGUUGGUUCAGUUGGGCACCCAACUUUGGCUCAGGUCAUGAUCGUGCAGUUAUGAGUUCGAGUCCCGUGUCGGGAUGAAUAUUGUUUCUAAAGUUCACCUCUUCAGAUUUGGCAUUUCUAACGCACACAGGAGAGCCUGAACCCAGCUCACGACCUACUGUGCUAAUUCCUGAGAAGUAGGAAGAGGGGCGCCCAGGGGGGCGCAAGGGGACGCUUCCGGAAGAAACAGCCCAGGACGUUAGUAUGCAGGGGUGCAGCCCCUCCCGGGUCUGGGGGGGCGGGCACUAUGUGCUCAGGCACAGACACAGAUCCUGAUGUGAUUUGAUGGGGAAUAAAAUACUGUAAAAACCCCAGUACUCAGAGUAACAGAAGAUGAGUUGUUUCUGGAAAAAAGAGAGGCAUGGGUAAGUGCCCCUGGCCACGGGCCUGCUCGCCCAAGCUCAAUGUCACUUCCUGGAAACCCUUAGCCAAGAGGGAACAUUAGGGUCACAUCAUGACACAAAAUAAGCCCGUCCUUUAGCACGGGGAUGGGCCGUGGCCGUGGACUGUGUGGUCACAGAGCG